GUCUUCUUAGCGUGUUGGAUGCUAUCAUUACAGAGAACUAGUGCAAUGGAGUCCUUGGGAGCAAAAGAAGGAGAAAACGUCCAUUUGGAGCGGAAAUGGCAAAAAGAUCGAUUCCCAAGCGACACUUGGAGUCGGCUGAGUUGCGCAAAAAAGAGGUGAAGAAUAAACUGUCAGUCCUCCUCAACUGAUAGUUGUGCAAGAAAACAAAUAGGUGGUCGGUUCCUUGGAACUGACAGGGCAAAGAAAAUCUGGGCAGCCCUUAUCUAUUCCACCUGGGUGGAUGUAUCAAUUGCUCUUCCUUUACAAAACCUGAAAUUCAGAGAUAAACAAAUCAUUGGUUUUUUAUUUCCCAUCCGAUAGAGAGAGCCAUGGCGGCACCAGAACUGAAGAGAAAGAGAAAUCGACACUUCAUGAGAGAAUCGAUCGAGGAACUUGAGAGAAGAUCAAGUUCUGAUGAUGUUUUAGUGAUUAGAUAAGGUGGUGCAGGCUGAUUGAAUUCCUGUGAAGGUUAAUUAGGGUUUGAAGAAUUGAUGUGAUUUCAGUACAGAGAGAUCGAGAAGUCCGAAAGAAAAUAGAAGAGAAAUUCAGGGUGUUGAAGAUGGGUUUUGUGGCAGGAAAUAGGAAUAACAAGGUGGGUAUUUGACAGUUAUUGUUGUGAGAUGGGUGUUGUUCAGAGAAGAUGAAUAAAAAAAGGGAUAUGCUGCUGUGGUGAGACGAAGAAGAAAUUGAAUUAGGGGUUCGAUUUAGACAUGAAAUUGAAGGUUUACAAUCAAUUGGAAAGAUGGGUUUCGAUUGAACAGUGAGAAAAUGAAUCUGGUGAUACAAGCGGUAAUGUAAAUUGGGGUUUGAAACUGAAUUUGAAUCGAGAGAAGGAAGAUGAUCUGGUGUGUGACUGCUGUUCUGUGAAGAAAUGGAGUAAGCUGUUGCCAUGGUUCGAUUGUUGAGAUGAUGAAGAGGACAUGGUGUUGUUGCUGACAUGAUUGAAUUGUGGACAAGAAAGGUUGCAGGAUUGAACUGUAAUGGAGAUGGUUCAGCUUCCACAGGAAUGUGUUGUGUGUGAUAUGGCAGCUGAGAAGAGAAAUAGAAAGUUAGAGGAGAAGCUUAUGGUGAAGUUGAGGCAUUGGUUGUGACAGUGAGAGUGGUUGUAGCUCAAAUUGCAGAUGGAAUUUAUGCUAAGGCAGAGAUGGUGAUUCUGGUGAACUGAGAUUACAGGAUAUGAAGCCACAGAUGUAGUUGGGAAGUGUAGGUGAAGUGCAAGAUUUGAUCCAAGAAGCAGCUGGAGUUGAUGCUUGGAGAAACAUAGCUUUUCUUUUGCAGCACAGCUGUAAGCAAUGGGCAGGGACAUGGAUGCUGCAGUGAGCAAAGAAUGUUGCAAUGAAUGGGAUCGUGAUGAUGUUAGAUGGAGGUCUUGCUGGUCUGUGCUUAUAUGAGAUGCAGGAGAGGGGUCUUAACUGAGGUGAUGAUGCUGUAUAGAUGUUUGUUUAGGAACUUGAAAGUGGUAAGCAAUUGCAGGUGCAGAGUGCGGCAUUUGUGACAACACACUGGAGUUGUAGGUGAGCUGCAGAAUAGUAUGACCUGAGUCUGAGAAGUACCGUUGGAAAUGAAGCUGCCCAUGGUGUUGCAGCUGCAGUUGUAAUGGGUUUAAAGCUACAGAAUGAGAUGCCGCAACUGAAGGGGAUGCGUGUUGGUCUGUGUAUGCAUGGAGCUGCGAGUAAUUAUGCAUUGCAGGAGUUGGUACUGCAGUUUUGAUACAGAGAAGAACAAGGUGAAUUAUGUGGAUGCUGCUGUGUUGUGGUUGAAUGAGCAGCUGUUAGGGGUACUGCAGCUGAACUGAAGCUAAAGGAAUGACGUAGUGCUGCGGCAGAUGAUGCAGUUCAGGUGCAGGCUAGGUGCAGUUGGAGUUGAAGCUGCAGGUGGUAAGACUGAGAUGGAAAAGUUGGAUUGAUUUACAGGGAAUGAUGCAGUGAUGUUGUUAUCUGGAGUUGUUGAUGUGUGGUUCAGGUAGUAUUGAUUAAGUAGAUUGUUCUUUGAUAGGGCUGUAGCUGAAAUGGAAUGAAUGGUUGCAGUUGUGGAGUUGGUUGUUACAAUGGGUUUGAGCAACUAUUGGUAUUGCAGGUGGUGCUGAUGUUGCAGUCUCGAGCUGGUGGUGUUAGUAGUUGCCAUGAGCAGUAGAAGAGGAAUACAGGAAAUUUCAGGUGCAAUUGAGCUGAGAAGAUACAAGGUUGCAGCUGAAGUGCAGGAAGAAUGGAAAAUGAUACUGGUGCUGGAAGGCUUGCAGCUGUGAAGUAAUGCAGUUGAAACUGAGAACUGAGCUUGUGAACAGCCAUCUUGGCGCAUCACAGGUUUUGGCAUGUGCAAUAGCUCAGGCCAAGGCCAAGGCCACUCAGCUCAAUUGAUUCUGACUAGUAUCUAACUCGUCUAUCUGACUUAGACCUGACUCGGUAUGCUUGACCCGAGUUAACUCAGUUGACCGACCGCACUGAUUCGUUGACCGGUGACCGGGUGGACUUUGCCGGUUACCUGAGAUGUUUUCCGGCCUAUUUCCAGCGCCGACACCAGUUCUCCGGCAACAUAUUUUUGGCAGAAUUUUUACGUGGGUGUUUUCUCUUAUAUCUCUUAUAUGGGCUUGGUGGACUUCUUGGUGAUGGGCUUUUGAAGACUUGACCUAAGAAGAACUACAAAAAGGAAGGUUUUCUACUUUCUUUGGAGGACGUAUUUCUACUUGGAACUUUGGAGAGCGGAGAUUCUACUAGGGUUUGCUUUCAUUUAUUUUUCAUCUUCUUCAAUUCAUUUUUGAUUAUGAUUAUGAUGAACUCAAAAGCUAUGAGUAGCUAAAUACAAUUAUUGGUUAUGGGAUAAAA